rnacentral:rRNA from 1 species
UACGGAGGGGGCUAGCGUUGUUCGGAAUUACUGGGCGUAAAGCGCACGCAGGCGGACGCGCGCGUGGGGUGUGAAAUCUGGCCGCUUAACGGCCAGGCGCCAUCCCAUACGGCGCAUCUGGAGUGAUGCAGAGGUCGAUGGAAUUGCCGGUGUAGUGGUGAAAUGCGUAGAGAUCGGCAGGAACACCCAGGGGGAAACCAGUCGACUGGGCAUCUACUGACGCUGAGGUGCGAGAGCGUGGGGAGCGAACCGG